GAGCUCACUUCAGCAGCACAUACACUAAAAAUGGAAUGAUAGAGAUGAUUAGCAUGGCCCUGCCUAAGGAUGAUGCAUGACUUCAUGAAGUAUCCCAUAUUAAA